rnacentral:rRNA from 1 species
UACGUAGGGUGCGAGCGUUGUCCGGAAUUACUGGGCGUAAAGAGCUCGUAGGUGGUUUGUCGCGUUGUUCGUGAAAACUCACAACUCAAUUGUGGGCGUGCGGGCGAUACGGGCAGACUGGAGUACUGCAGGGGAGACUGGAAUUCCUGGUGUAGCGGUGGAAUGCGCAGAUAUCAGGAGGAACACCGGUGGCGAAGGCGGCCUUCUGGACAGUGACUGACGCUGAGACGCGAAAGCGUGGGGAGCAAACAGG